UGUCUGAGAGUAUCAUGUUUCGAUCUGAAACGCAGUGAGGUUAUUUCAUUAUGACCCAUCACGCUGGCGUAACUGUUUGGGAAUCGUGAAGGAGCGUGCGUGUGUUGCUUCCUCACCCAGCAACACACAUCGUAACGCUCCGCAGGACUGGUGUUUGGGUGGACUCAUUCGAACGUCGGUGAUGCGGUACGCUCAGUCCUAAUUUUGUGUGCGUCAUACACCCGAGGCAGUCGCAAGAUUGCUUCGAGGCGACACGAAUUCCACGGACUUGCGUGCUUUAGCUGCCGAUGUUUGGUCUGUUCUGUAUAGCCCCGCCUGGUUCUUCAUGCCCUGAACCUGUCAGUGUAUUCAUUGCUGAGGCAUGUGUCAGUCUCUCGGCGCACUUUUCUGAAAUGUGUGAUCCUCAUGUGAAGGUUGUGAUCUGUGCGAGUUCAGAGACGCGCCAGUGUCUGUUCGCUGGUGCCAGUGUCUGUUCGCUGGUGCAUAUCAAUGGCUUGAAUCCAUCAGUCACGUCUCGAAACACGGGCCAAGGAGCAUAGCAUGUGCGCAAGUCUAAGGGUCAUACAAAACCUGCAGGCGAAGUGAAAGCGAUCUGGUGUGUGAUCUCGAGAGUCAGUGGACCUGUUGUGCUGUGUGGGCGUGUGUGUUAACGCAUGCGCGUUCGUGCCACGACGGAAUCCCGGACUCUCUUGCUCGUCACAGCCAGGGCGGGAUGCAUCAUAUCCCGUUCACGGUGGUCUCGGUAAAACGUGGCUGCUCUCUGUGUACUGGUGUUGAAUAUGGCAUGUUGCCGCUUAAACAGAGUUGAUCCUGAAUCACGUUCCGUAAUGCACGGGUUUUGCGGUGCGAAAGCACUGUCAGCGUGAGAAAGGCGCAAACUCCACGCCAUCCAAAGUAAUGUGCCUUGGCCUUCACGGGCUUUGGUGCGUGUGUGAUGGCAGUGUGGAGCGUGCAUGCUAUUACCCGAAAGAUAGUGAACUAUGCUUGGCGAGGGUGAAGCCCCAGGAAACUGGGGUGAAGGC
rnacentral:rRNA from 1 species